CACCACUCGCCCGGACGCUCUGUGAGGGGAGCGGGAGGCAGAAGGGAGGACAGACAAGUUGCGUAGCAGGGCUAGGUGGGUUUCCAUGCUAAGCACAGCAAUUGCGCACGGUCCCUUACGUAACUGUCAGCCGGGGAUUCCCUAGAUGGGGUCACUUUAUUCAACCAUUACACAGACCCCGGCCGCCCCUCCGGCGCGCCUGAGCUGCAGCGGCCGCCGCGACUGAGGCUGCUGCAAGGGAGCGCAACGACUCCUCACAAAAUGGCGGCGCCCAUGGAAGCGGCAGCCCCAUUUUGUGCCCGGCAGAGCCUGUCAACAAACACCGACUUGGCCGUGGCUGAGGAACAGAAGGCGGCGGCUCGUUCGCGUUACGGAGCGCGGAGGGAGGAGAGCGGAGGAUUUCACCGCCCUCCUGCCGCCGAGAGGAGACUCUGGAGCGCGCGCGUUGGGGGAGGGAGGAGAGGGAGGUGAAGGGACGCGAGCAGUGAGCGAGUCAGAGGCUGCGUUAUCCCAGCGCGGAACUGCUGGAGCUGCGGCGCGGGGGAGGGGAAGGCGAAGGCCAAGGCAGGCGGCCUUGGCGCUGCCCUCAUCGGGGCGUAGCUCCCGGAGACCCGGGGGCUGCGGAGACCCGGGGACUGCAGGAGCGGCUGGCGAUACCGGGCCGGAGCCAGGGGCGUCCCGCACGGGGGGCCCUGCGCCCCCCUCCCGCGCUGCCCGGGCGGACGGGGCUGUUCCUGUCGGAUUGCGGCGAACCUGUAAUGAAUGACAGGACGAUCUUGUGUAGCUAACUAGGUCACUGUCAGCACUUAAUUACUGUUUGUUUCAUUUUAGUGCGUGCCUUAUGAAUAAACCGGCUAUUAGGCUGAUGCUUCAAGUAACAUUAUCCAGCACCAAGGUACAAAAUGUCUGUAUUGGACUCUGAUCUUGCGAUGCUAGCUUGGAUGUGCACCUUCCUCAUUUCAACUUUAUGGUAUUACUACUCAGGAGAUGAAACAGAGGGAAAAUUUGGCUACAUAAACACUAUUGAAAAUACCCAAGUAAAUUGAUUAAACACUUUAAAAAAUACUUUCUCAGCUUGAAUUUGGAGCUCAGAAAAUGAGAAGCACUUCAUUAGAGCCCUCUAGUUCGAUACCAGAAAUUCGCUACUCUGUAAAUCCCUGAUAAAGACAGAAAUAGAAGUGGUAUGUACCCAACAGGAUGCAUUUGCGGUAGCCUCCCAACAUCCCCUAUCCCUUCCUCCCCCCGAGGCUGCUGCUCGCUUUUGGUGGGGCCUGGAUGCCAGAAGAGGGAGCACGGAACACAGCGGAGCCCCAGCCUGAAUGUCCCUGCUGCUGCCUCAGCUAGGAGGAACUCUGCAAGGACCAACCUGCAGCAUUGUUGAUGCCACAGGUUUUUCAGAAAACCCAGCUUCUAGCUCUUAAAUAUAUUUUUCAUUAUUACUAUUUUGUGCUGUACAUGUGCAGCUUGAGAUUUAAGAGCUUUUAGCUUUAUCACAUUGUUCAAUAGAAAAACUGCCUGAAAAGCAUAUCUCUGAUUCAAAGGCUACUCUCACACUAAAUUUCAAUUUUUCUCUUCAAAGUAAAGGCCUUUUCAGGUACGUUAAGAGGGUUUUUCUGUACUUGAGUAAAAAUGGGAGAUUUUUUCCUUCCUCAUUUUCACACUUGGAUUUUUGUUAAAAAGUUAUUUUGAAAACAUCAGCUUGAGGCAGACACGUGACCUGGAAAACUUAAACUCAGGUAGUAUUAAAGUCAAAAAACCAGCGUAUCUUCAAUUGUUUCUUCUCAUAACAUGUCUUAGAACCUGAAGCUCUAUUAAAUUUCAACCCUGAAAACAUAUCCUAGUAGCUGUUUGGCUGUGUUUGCAUUCAUAGUCAUUAUAUGCAAUGUGAUUGCAAAAUACCUGGGCUCAAAUACAGAAAAUCAGCUAUCCUUUGAUAUACUUAGCUUAUUCCAGUAUAAUGCUUAUUACUCAGAAUAACACUGUCCAGUCCAGAGACAUUACAUGAGAGGAAGGUAGCAAGUCCUGUACUUCCAAGUAGUAUUCUUUGCAGUGAUAAUUCUUGGUUCUGGCUUCCUCCAAUGAGUUUAGGUCUCUGGGUAGCUGAAGCAGUUAUGUUAGGUAUGCUGACUUAGUCUUUAGCAGUAUUCAGACUGUAUCCCUUUACUGUGCAGAGCUGUGAUCACCACAUCCAGUUCUAAUUUGUUACAGAACCACAGUCAAAGAAUGGAACAGUUUUGUUAACUAGCCGAAUGGCAUGGGAGAAUUCCCAGAAGGUUACUUAGUUUGCUAAUCUCUGCUCAAGAGGUUCUGGUGGCUUCAUUGCUAGUGGUGGCUUAGCCUUGUAAAUACUGUCUUUUUAAUUUUUAUUUAUUCGUUUAAGUUUUAAGGAAGGACUGGCUGAUGAAUGGCUAGUGUUUGUUUGUUUUUGUUCUCACUUUACCACUACUGGCUUCAGUUAGGUUUGAGAAUGAUAGAAGAGCUUUACACAGCUGUUUGCUUUAUUUCUCCUUACCCCCUCCACAUCUCAUUGUCACAAAAUGUUUGAGACAUGUCUUGUGUUUAGAACACCAAGGGCCACUCCAUGGUCAUAUGUCUCUUUCUUGAGGUGGGGGGGAUGACACAAACACAACCCUACCCCACCCCCCUGAAAAAACCCAGCCAAACAAGAAACCAAACAGCCAAAAACCCCCAAAAAGCACAAAAAACCCAAAAACAAAAAAAAGCACCCCAAACCUAUAGUUGGGGAGAGGGAAGAGUUUCCAAUUCCAGUAUAUGAUCUUCAUAUGCACAGUUACUGUACAAUAAAGAGGUUUAUGGCUUGAAUUCAAUAAUACUGUUCUGUAAAAAAAACCUUUUCAUUGAAUACUCCGCUGGCUAUUUGGAUGAUGUGCUGAACAUUUGUAGUAAUGAAGAGUCUCCAAAGGUCUGAUUUUUGGUGCUCUUCUGGUUCCAGGGAAGAGGCAGAAAAAAGGACUUGCUUUUUUGUUUGUUCUUGAUGGUUUCAAUGACAAAACUCCACCACAAAACAUAUGCUAUGCAGUCAUCAGCAUUUUAUAAAGCUGUCAUGCACAUUGAAACACCACAGCUUUCUAGGUGUUUUGAAAGCAGGUGUCCUGUCUGAUGGAGUUUUGUCCAUUGUCACACCGUAGUACUGUGCACUGGAUGUUAUGAACAAAUUUUAAAAUAGCUGAAGCAAAGUCACUGAUCACCUAAUUGGGUUGUUAUUGCCUUAGUAAAGCUUGUUGAUCUUUAAUAUGGAGGAGCUGCAAAUAUUAACACCCACAGCUUUGUAAAUGCAAAUAAAGUUAUGGGAAUUUUAACAUUUGGAAAGGAAGUAGUAAAUAGGCAUGUGCAGGAGCCUGGGUGUGUCAGGAGGAGAGGCCACUGCAGGCCAGCUAUCUUGGCUGGCACGUUUGGAGCACAAACUAUCAAAUGCAGCACUGUACCAGCCUCACUUGUGCACUGUUCUUUGUGCUGGUGCCCCCACCUAUCAGCCAGAGAACAGGAGGUCUUUAAGUCACAGCUUCCAGCAUUAUUUCCAGGACCUGAACUUACUUACCUAAAAGGGGUUUGUAUAUACAUGUAUAUCUGUUGGAACUGGACUCCAGGAGUUGAGCGUCGUUUCUCAGAAAAUGUUGGAUCAUCUCUUAAAACUGGAGUACUACUGUUCUGUGUAGUGUCUUAUCCAUGUUUAGAACUAGUGAGGAUUUAAGUACUGAUUAAACAGUUUGCUUUAUCAUCCUUCAUUCAUGUCAAAAUUAAUUGGACAAAACUGCUGCCAAUUCUCUACUCAAAGAUGGUAAGUAAAGAUACUUGCAAAGAAACUCACCGUUUGAGCUCAUGUUCUGCAGCAAUGUUGCCAAUUAACUUUUAGUAAGGGUUUACAACUUUAAGUACUUCAUAUAUAUCUUGAUCUCUAAAAAACAAGUUUUAAACAUUUUUGUAAAGAUGGAAGAGAAAAAUAGAUUGUUAACAUUUUUUGGUCUGAAUAUAAGACAGAAAGCACAGUUUGAAUGUAUAUACAUUUGUAGUGUUUGAUCCCAGUUUAGCCAUACUAAGCUCUUUCUAAUAUACUCCAUGAUGAAACACUUAGACAAGAAAUAAGGGCGCGUGAAGAGGAGAUGGCAGAAUUGCACGCAGACAGUAGUCGUGGUACUCCUUUGCACAUCAGUCACUUCUGAAAGUACACUGUAAUUUCAGUAGAACUUACCAGUGUUUUGCACGUUGUUAUAUUGGUUUAAAAACAUUUUAUACUUUUCAGUUGUUAUUUAACUUGCAGACAUGAACAAUAAAGUUUUGUUGUUUGAACUUCUGCCUAAUUGUAAUGAAAGAAGAAGUACAAACUCUGCAAACAGAUUUUAUAGAAGUAUGAAAACAGCCAGCAGUUUACACAAUCUACAGAAAUGACAUGUCAUUACCACAAACUAGCUGCUACAGGAAGUAACUCUUGAGUUAUGUGCCAGAUUAUGUAUUAACUGGAGACUCACCAUACAUAAAAUUAUUUGGGAGCAAAUAUUCGAUGUUCUUUAAGAGACCCUUAAACCUCUGAUGAAGAAAAAUCAUAGCAGACAACUCCUAACCCUUUUAUUGGACAUUUUUUGAUAUAAAAGCUCACAUCUCCUCAAAAUAUGCAAUUUAAUGUAACUAAAGAGACAGUUGUUUCAUGGGAUCACCUCUGAGACAUGAAAAUAUGUGUGCACAGUAUUCACAGGUCCUCUUGACCAACACAGGUCUCUCAUGGUGCUGUUUCCUUAUGGGAACAACCGAGAUUUUGGGUAAAUUCCUGAUGCUGAAAACCUGCAGGUAAAUAAUUUAGAUAAUGAUGUUGCUAACUUAAUGCAGCAGUUGACUUGCCAAACUAGUAGCUUAUGAAUUUGUAGCAUUUGUAGUCUGGGUAGCUAGCUUCAGAAUGUUAGUGAUAGCUUUGCCCUCCAGCAGAAUGGCUUUCUACAGUUUAUGCACUAAAUACUCAAAACUGAUGGCAAGAUCUGGAAUCACUGUUAGUACUUAGGUAACAACAAGUUGUUCCACAAUUUCUUAAUAGCUUAAACUAGGUGCUGCCUCCAAAAAGAAGCACAUCAUGCAUCUUCGUCUUCCCCUUUCUUCCUUCCUCUUGGCAUUAGCAUUUCACACACCUGUACUGCAACAGAGAUAAAGAUUAAUUCAGCUGAAAAUUUACAGGACAAAAAAUUGUCUUCUAAAUGGACUUACUACCACUGCAUGAAGGGCAGCAUCAGUGCAAGAGAAUGUAGAAAUAAGAAUCAGAGAAAGACAGGACUCCUUCUUCUUCUAGUCCUCCUUCAAAGGUUCCAGCAUCCACACUAAUCAGAUAACAACAGGACAGAACACUGUCCCCCUUGUUACCACUGGUGAAAGAGUAGAAGAAAUCUGAAGUCAAGGCAUUUAGGUGCUGCUAGCACUUCCUUGUUGCUCUUUAAAAGGAUGAUAAAGUGAUGACUCUUUUGAUAAAUAUUUCCUCUAGUUUGCUUAGCCCAGUUGUCACAGGUAUUUUGAAAGGAGUGCACCUGGCUGAAUUGUUAACUGUGCUCUUAUUUCUUUUUCAGGGGUGUUGGGGUACAACUGUCAUAUUGUGGUGUUUUUAAGAAAGCAGAAAUAGAAAACUAACUUUCAUUUUGUAUGCAAUAUGUCCAUGUGGGAUGGACACAGAUGAUACAAAAAUGAGUUAGGAAAGGCUUUUUGACUGAUAAUAACAGUGUUAUAUUUUUCUUCUGUUGCCAGCUUUGAGUUUGUUUGCCUCCAAACUUUGUGCUGCAUCCAAAGACCUAAAAUUUGGAGGCUGCAGGCCUUGGAGAUGGAGAGAAUUGGGCACAAAGAGUGCCCAAGAGUAUUUUCAAGACUGAGAUUUGGAAAUAAGUUUCUCUCCUCCACUUAUGAAGAAUCUAAUAUAGGACCUUUUGAAAUAUGGCACAUCUAUAUUUAGAUUUUCCUUGCCUAUAUCUUUCCCCCCCCUUUAUUUUUAUAUGGACAAGUUUUAAAAUAAAUGCAUAUAUGAAAUAAAUUCCACAUCUAAAGUCUUGCAAAUAAGGGAUGUUGUAGGAGUGGUAUGCUUCCUACAUGUUUUCAUAUAGAGAGGGACAGAGGACAUGAUAUCACAGGCUUUAUUUUGGUAAGAUUAAUGUUUUCAGUCGACAUUAAACCUGAAUACUGAAGUACCAAAGCACUACCUUGCUUACUGCUGUCUUCCCAUAGACCCAUCAGUUUUAACUCUUGGUAAUUCUCAUCCAUUUUAGACUUCUUUCCAUCUUCCACUUCCUUGGCCUCUUCUCAGUAGCACUUUGCCACUGGAGCUACAGAAUAUAUGUCUGGAGAUUCAUGACACCCCUGUAAGUGUGGAGGGGAGAAUGAAAUUGCAGUUAAUCCCCAUAAUUUUAUGUUGCAAACAGUAAAGUUAAGCAACUGAAAAAGAAGUUUUUAACUGUUGAUUUUCAAUUAGAACUCCUUCCCUUCCCCAUGCAAUUAUAUCAAAUCCAUCCUGUGCUUUAGAAAAAUGGGGAGAGGUAGCUCUUCUAACAGCUCACAGUGGAAUUUUUACCAUUCCAGUGAUGCAGAAUGGUUUGUCUGGAGGCCAGAACAGUGCAGCAUCAUCAUCCUCACACCUCCUCUUGUCUUCAAGAGCUAAUGGCUAAGUUUCUGCAGAAAAGUGCAAUGGCUAAUCCUGUGUAAGAGUCACAGUACAUGUAUGGCUUUAAAUUUCUUGAAAGCCUUGGAAGGCUCCAGAAGGACAAGUCAAAUGCUUCUGCAUGUGAAUGAAAUGUGCAGUUUAGAUCUUGAGACAAGCUCAGGGUAGUCAAAGUUAAGUAAAUUAAUGUUAUUCAGUGAAAAAUCCUUUUUUUACAAUAAGACGUUAUAAAAAAGAAUCUGCAUUUAUUAUGUGAGUAAAGCAGAGGAUAUGGGAAGUCAGGAAUGGAAAUGAAGAAACAGGAUAACUUAUAUUUCCCUCUUUUUAAAAGCGAAAAUGUCAUAUUUUAGGUAAAAGUCCAUACUUUUCUAGCCCAGCUGUUGUGCUUCACAUGAAACUGAGAAAUACUAUAUAAAGCACUUGCUGUUAUGAUAGAAUUUCUCUCUUGCUUUACUGCAGUUUCCUUCUAAACCAGGCCCUAGUUCCUCAUUUUAUGUAAAAUGAAAGGAGCCAGGUGCUUCAGAACUGCCAAGACUGAACUGGGAGGGCAGCAUCACAAUUUUUCUUUAACUGUAGUCAUUGGUGUUUCAUAUACAGUUAACAUCCCAUAAAGUUUUUCAUUUCACUUAAGAUCCUUCAAAUCCUUUUUAUCUUUUUUUUCCAAAUAGCUAUUUGAAGUUUUAUUUGUUUUAAAUGGUAGGGAAAAAAAAUCAAAACCAGCUAAUUAUUAAAAGUGGAGAUACUAAACACGACUCUUCAACUGACACCAAACUCAGUUUUCACACAGAGUAUUUUCCUAUUUCAAGAGAACUUUCCUGUAAUCUAAAAACAUAACUGCAUAUUUGUGAAAUCUUCAAUAACAUUAUGGGAUUUUUAAUGUAUAAAGUUGUGCAUGGAGGUAACUGAAAGAGCUUGGCUUAAGAAUGUAAAUGCUUCCUGGCAGAGACUCUGUUACCUUCAGGACCAACAGUUUCCCACUACUCAAGUUUAGGGGCUUUUCCCCUUUUUGUGUAGGAUAUGAUUUAAGGCAUGCCCCACUCAAGUUUCUCUUGGGGACAGUGCUGAGGUGAGUAUCAGACAGGGAGAGAGUUGUUUUCUGUUUAUUAGACAUUCAAGAUAUGGAUGUGCCUCUACAAGUUUUGUCCAAAGGCAACUUUUCACUCAGCAUGGCCUAAAAAGUCUGGGUCCUGUCAUCUCCUGUGCAAACCAAGAGCCUUAACUGCUCAGAAGUUCAUGUAUUUCUGAUAAAUGUUCAGUUCAUUGGUAUUUUAGAACAAGAAGAGUUCAGGAGCUUGAACAGCAGAAUUACAGAGUUGGAAAGUUAUGAAGACAUCAUUAAAUUCAGAAUUCUAUGGCCACAUUAAAUAGCAGGAGUUGUGAACUGACAAAACUUAAUUGCAGAAUCAAUAUGGGACCAUUCUCCUAAGAUGUCUUCCCUCAAGGAAGCAGCUCUGAUCCUCACUAUGUCAAGACUUCUUGGGCACAUGAAAUUAUAAACAAAACUUAUUGGCAAGUGAAAUAUGGCAGUAUGGAGUCAUGUCCAGUACUGUUGCACCUGGUAAAAGCUACGUGAAUUGACUGCAAACAUGCCAGCCUUGGCACUGGUGAGCCUUGGUCUGCUGCGUGUUCCACACUGGUGAGUGGAUAGGCCUGCUCUGCUCAUCUCCAGAGCUAGCACCAACUGAGAAUGUCCCCUUACUCUCCUUGUCCACUCCUAGCCUCAGUAGAGGUGAUGAAGGUAGCACCUGUCACAAGAGGCCUUGGCACCAUGAUUCUAACCUCCUUAUCACAUUUAUCCUUGGGAUAUGUUACUAGUCCUUUGCAUCAGAGCCACAGUAUUCCUCAGCACUACAGCUGUGGUAAAGGAGCCUUCUCCCCAAGAUUCCUUGUAGCAGGUGUUAAGGAUAUUCAGUGUUUGAAGGUGAAGUGAGAUCUCUGCUGUCAAAACAGGGAAAGUGCAACCCCUUGUUCUAUGGAACACCGGGUUCCAAACAUGUCAGCACUUGAAACAUGGUUUAAGUGCAGAAAAUUCAAUGACAAUUUCCUGACAUAGGUGAUUGGUGAAGUAACUAGAUUAAUUAUUUAUGACUCAUGAACAAUCUGUCUGAGGGUGUUGAGGCUGAAGGCAGCUUUGGCUGCAACUCUGAGUUUGUAUUGUUUAAAAUCCUGAGAUAAACAAGAAAAAUAAUAAAAUUGCCAGUCUUGACUUCCAUAGAGCAAAUUUGUUUUGGGAAUUUGUUUGGGAAUCUGUUGGACAGGAUUGCAUGAGAGGCAGUUAGUUGCCCUGGCACCGCUUCAGAACAACCUUCAAGAACUUCAAGAACAGCCUUCUCAAAACACAGAACUGGUCCCUCCCAAGUCAAGAAAGGUAAGCAAAGGUGGUGAAAAGCCAGUAUGGAUGAACAGAAUACUCUAGAUUGACUGCAAAUACAAAAUCUAGCCAGUGGCAGCAUGAGUGUGCUACCCAUCUACUUCACUGUGGUGAGCGGAGAGGUCUGUGAUGGACAGAAUAGGCAAAUGGCAUACCCAUCUUCAAGAAGGAUAAGAAAGAGGAUCCAGGGAACUACAGGCUAAGAAGUCUAACCUCAGUCUCCUGGAAGAUUUUUCCUCCUGUAAACCAUUUCUGAGCUCAUGAACUGCAAGAAGGUGAUUAAAAAUAGGCAGCAUGAAUGGGCAAAUUACUACUGGGCAAAUUGGCAAUUACAUGGGCAAAUUACUACUGAUGAACCUGAUUGAUUGAUUGAUUGAUUGAUUGAUCAUUGUGAAGUGGGCUGAUUCCAUGGAUGAGGGAAGAGUAGUGAAUGUUGUUUACCUUGCCUUUAGCAGACCUUUUCCCAAGGUCUUUGAUAGUAUCCUUCCAGUCAAAAUACGGGCAGGAUAAACAGAUUGUAAAGGAGAUGCAAAACUGGUUGAAAUUCCAGGCCAGACAGGUUGUAAGUGGCAGUAUAAAGUCCAUCCCACAGCUGGUUGCUAGUGGCAGUCCUCCUCAGGGACUGAUUCUGGGGUAAAUGCAGUUUGGUGUCUUCACUGCCGAUGGUCUGACCUAAUGGGAGAGCUUGCACUGUCAGCAGAUUCAGCAGAUCAUACCAGCCUUCAGGGAAGGAGUUGAUAUUCCAGAGGGCAGCGCUGUUGCUUAGAGGGACCAAGACAAGCUGGAGGAAUGCAUUUCCAGGAGUCUCACCAAGCUCAGCAAAGACAGGUGAGAAGUCUUGCUCAUGCUGGAGAUGAAUUGAAUGAAGAGCAGCUUUGUAGAAAGGGACCUGUGGUACUGGUGGACAUGAUGAGCACAAGUUGGCAGUUGGGGCAAACAAGGUCAGCUUCAUCCCACAUUGUAUUAGCAAGCUGUGACCAGCAGGUCUAGGGAAGUAAUUGCUCCCUCUCUCUGGUGCUUGUGAGACUGCUUCUGGAGUACUCUUUUUGCUGUCCAGCAUAAGGUUUUGAAUGCAGCAGAGUCACUAAGAUCACCCAGGCUCAAGUGCGUGUGUAUGAGCCGUGUGGUAAGGUGAAUAUAGGAGAGAUCCAAACUCUUCUUGGAGAUGGAUGGUGACAGGGGAAGAGCUAAUGGACACAAGUUGCAAUACAGGAAAUUCUGCCUGUAGGGAAAAACAUUUUCACUGUUAAUAUAAUCAAAUGCUGGGAUGAACUGUAUGUCAAUAUUGUGGAAUCUCAGACCUUGAAGAAAUUCAAAACCUGGCUGAGCAAGAUGCUUUAGUUGGAGAUGCUUUGAAUGGGAAGUUGAACUAGCAGACCUCCAGGGAUCACUUUCAAUCUGUCCAUCAAAGAAGAGGAGCAAAAACCAGUGAAUGGCAAUAAUUUACCACUGCAGACCUGCUCGAACCCGUAUUGUCAGAGAGCUCUAGUGCCAAAGAUGAGGCACCUACACAUAUCAACACUGAAACAUGGCAGCUGAGUUUUCAUUUGAGAACUGCAAGUUUCAAUGAAGAACCCUGAGGUCUGAAAAUCUUUUUGAAUCUGGUUCUUAAUAGUCAACUUAAAAAAGAAUGGAUCUGUUUUCAAAGAGUGCAGGCUUCUCUCCUGAAAACAUGAAAGAUAUAAGAGGAUGAUUGAUCAGGAUUGCUUUGAGGACUGUUUUCUUUCCUGUUGUCCUAAGAUGAGAUUGGGGGUUGUAGGAAGUGGCAGAUGCUUUGGAGUGGCCCUAUUGUUUUCAGGACUUUAAAUUGUUGUUUUCCUUUGUGAGUUUCCUAUCUGCUAAUAGUGAAUGCAUACUUGUAGCUAGUGUACAUGAUUGCAUUUGGUACCUUUUUGGAAAUAGAUGAUAGUUGUUUUCUAAGUGGUGCUAAUUUCCGUUUUUAGACACUCUUCUUAACUUCAGCACUAGCAAAACUAUAUGAGAAGGUGAUGUUGCUGCACUCUGUGUUGUGGUAAAUGUAGUUAUGCAUUACAAGAAUAAUUGUAUAGACUGAAAAGGUAAUAUGCAUUAGUAUUUUGUUAAAAAGUAUGCACAUUCAAAAGUAUGCACUUUUUUUUCCCCAAGCACACAUAGUGCUUGGGGGAAAAAAAGUCAUUAUCUCUUCAUGACUGAUCGAAUUCUAUACAUGUUAUGCUAAAGCUUUUUGUGUCACUAAAAGUUAAUUAACAUGAUACAUAUUUAAUGGAAUAUGUGAUUUUUUUCUUCUUCUAGGGUAAUUGUUCACAGUUUUGUAGCAGCUUCCACAGGUGUAGGUAACAAGACAAGUGAGUGGAUAAUCACAAUCCUUAUAUUUAAGAAAAAAAAAUCCUCCUUAUUUUUAACUUUUGGUAACUUGAAGAUGUUUCUUGUAUUUUGUCUCAAUACAGCAUUUCAUCAUUAGUUUGAUAAUGCCUCUCUCUCUAUGAUAAAACAGUUAGAAUAUAGACCUUCUUCCUUUCCUCAGUGGUAUGUUAACAAAUCAGCAUGCUGGCUUAUAUUUUAUUAGAGUUGUGGGGAAGAGGAAAUGAGAUUUGACAAUUGGGGAAGGAAAAAGUAUUUAUCAGAUUUCAACCCCUGGAUUAAAUUAGAUAAUGCUCUGUAAGAAAAAUUAUGUGGCUCUUCAGUUUUGUUUUAGCAGAGGUUCUAUGAUCCAAAAACUAUGCUAUAUUCAGUGCAUAUACUUAAAACAUCACUCACAUGCUGGUCACAAGAAUAUGGUUCUAUUAAAAAAGUUGUCACUUACAAGUCUUUUUCCCUGUAGUUCAGAAAAUAAUUUCUAUUUGAAUAGCUUUGAAAUUUCAAGAUCAGAAUAUUUUUAUAAGCAAUAGUUUGAAGCCUGUGAUAUAAUCUGAAAACUAUCAAACAUACAAUCUUCCUAAUGUGCCAGGACUUUGAUUACAUAAAAAUACUUUGUUGAUUCUUAGUGAAUAUUCAUGAAUGGUGUAUAUACGGUUGGUAUGCAUAUGCACAGUAUAAAACAACAUUAUAAAAAACACAUCUUUAUACUUAUGGAAGAUUUUAAAAAUAAAUCAUUCCUUUCUACCUCUUUUUUUCCCUUCAUUUUUAAGUAAUACCUACUUAAUGCCUAUCUGUAUUAUUUCGGUAUAAUUUCUGCUGUGGUGAUGUCUCUAUAGAAUUAUUGAUAUUUCCUCUAAAAUGAGAACUGGAAAGCAGUCUAUAUUAGCUACUAGUUUACUUGAUCAUGUCCUGGAAUAUCCCUAGCCUUCAGGCAAACUCAUUGAAUUUCUCUCCUGUUUUAGAGUGUGUAGAGGCAGCUGAUAGGCUUGAAGUCAUGGUCAAUGGGGAUCUAGUCAAAACAGCCAAUAUUAUCCAUAAAGUGAGUCAACUCAUUUUAAAACUGGCAUCUACUUUUAGUCAGAUGAAUCACUCUCUAAACUUCAUUGAUGUAGAUAUGUCAAGGUGAAUGAGACAGAUCCCACCUCCACAUUCCCUUGAUAUUUCUCCUCACUUGUUUGAGAGUGAAUUGAAGCACUUAAAAAGAAUUUUGCAGUGCAGUUUGCAUUGCAUUUGCAAUUGGGACAACAACUCUCAGCCUUGCUGAGUUAACUGUAAGUUCCCAGCUUGGAACUGCCAGCUGUGUAUGGGGACUCUAUGUAUGAACUGGUCAUGGUCGAUAUGUGAGUCAGUGGUGCAUUCAGCAUAUAAAUGCAAUAAGUGCCUUCGGUGUUCUUACUGAAAAAUGGCUCUAAUGAGAGCCAUAUUUACACUUUAGCAAGCUUGCUUUUCAAACAGCUCCAGAACUUUUAGAUCAAGUUGGCUGACAGAUUCUAAACAGUUUUCAAAGUGUUGUACCAAAUCCAUAUCGGGUACAUAUUCUGACUGCAUGUCAUUAUAUAAUGUGUGCUAAGUUCUGUCUGUGAAUUUGUUUACUGGCAUGUGAACAGAGGAACAACCUCAUCUUCUUAUUCUGGACCUCCUACCACUAUGCUAUCCUUCUCAGGAACAGAGAGUAACUUGAAAAGAUUGGGUUGAAGCUGCAAACCUGCGUUAGAUAAAGGACAGAGAAGAAAGAUAGGUCUGAUGAAUCAACAGGUACAGGAAAGGAGAGAAUGACCCUGAAGUCCUAAGUCAUGUUGUUUUCUCCAAACAUUGUGCCAUUUUCUAUCUCUGUCCUUCAUAUCAGUUGGGUUGUUUGUAUAAUGCUCAAUUCCAUGUUUUCUAUAGCAUGUUGUUGGCAGGAAAUGACAAAAGAGUGGAUAUCCCAAAGCAGUGGUGAACAGUUGUAGGUCCUUACAGCAACCACUAGCACCAUGUUUUGGCACAGAUGGAGUGGCCCUUGAAGGCUUUAUCUUGCAGAUGAAGAUUAGAGAAUAAAUUAGCAGAGGCAUUAAAUGUAAUGAAUUGAUAUCCUGUUUGGUUGUCUGGGUUUUUUUUUAAUCAUCUCAAGUAGCAUGAAUUGGGAUGGGAGGUACUCUUUCCUCUGGAGUUGUGUCAACAGGCAGGUCAUAAUAGGAAUGCUUCCACCCCCACUUUAUGGCUGAAAUGCUGGGGACGGGUUAUUUGUUCCUCUACUCUGCAUCACACUGCGUAAUUCUGGAUGCCCUUUGCCUGGAGGAAGUCACAGCCCAGCUCAAGGUUCAGAGGCUUCCUUAGCAGUGUGGGAGGAGAAGUAGGAGUGGAUUUCACAGAAACCUCUGAUCAGGAAGCUGCCCAAGCAAGCUAGUGGGGAAUGGCUGCAUUCCAGGGGAGUUUCCUACUUGCUGUGCCACUGGGGCAUGCUGAGGAGCAUAUCCUGGCCUGUGCCAAGUGCUCUUGUCUUCAGCUGCCUUUUUCCAAGCUCUUCAUGGAAGGGUUGUGCUGCCUGCAGGUGAGGCAGGGUGGGAGCUUCCUGUAAUGGGAACCUCAUUUAGGCUUAAGAGGUGAGCUAGCAGAUUUGAAGGGCUGUCAAGAUAAUAAGGCUAAGAUUUCUUGCUUUGUGGCAAAAGUGUAGGUUCAUAGAAAUGCAAGUAACUACCAACAAGUGCCUCACUGGAGAUGUUGAAGCUCUGCAGUGUCUUUGAACGUUCCAAGAACUGGUGCCAAGUAACAGAAAUCUCUCGUAUCGCUGCCUUGCUCCAAAUCCACAGGUUAAAGCAGAUUGUACACUUGCAGGAAUAUUUUUUCACUGCAUGAUUUCACUAGGCUGGUUUUGCCCCUGUAAGAAGCUGGUGUGCUACUUGCCUUUUCCCUGGUCUUUAACUAAUUGCAAUUUGAAAAACAUUGUUUUAUGGUGUCCUUAACAUGGGCUUUAUAGUAAGUAAAUAUUACAUCCUGUUAACAUGGUCGCAUCCAGUAAAACUCAAAUAUUGAAAUUUCUGCAAAUUCAUCCCACAUUUUAUUUAGUUACAUUAUAUGCAUUCAAUGUAUUUAAAGAAUAAACAAUGUUAAAACAAUUUGUUACUGUGGUUUAAGCAAAACUUUAUGGGUUCUUGGUCUACAAACUUGUCUACUUUAGAAGUUUGCCCCAUUCCUAGGAAAAUAUUUGAAAGAAGGAAAAAAUGGUAGAAAACGUGAUCU